rnacentral:RNase_P_RNA from 1 species
GUGGAAGGAAGUUCACUGUAGAGUCUGAGAUAAGAGCCAAUCGCUGUCCUCACAGGACAUCAUCUGAACAGAUGAGCGAGCGCACAGGAAAGAUGGGUCAGAACGCGGUGUUCACGCACAAGACGUUGGAACGCAGAAUAGCGAACCAAUUGAUGCGAACCCGUUGACUUGGAAACGCUUGCGGCUGGCGCAGUGAGUUCAAUGUGAACUGGCACAAGAUGCUAGAACCCAAUUCAGACUACUCUCCUACCAC